AGUGAACGCUGGCGGUAGGCCUAACACAUACAAGUCGAACGGCAGCACAGUAAGAGCUUGCUCUUACGGGUGGCGAGUGGCGGACGGGUGAGGAAUACAUCGGAAUCUACUUUUUCGUGGGGGAUAACGUAGGGAGACUUACGCUAAUACCGCAUACGACCUACGGGUGAAAGCAGGGGAUCUUCGGACCUUGCGCGAUUGAAUGAGCCGAUGUCGGAUUAGCUAGUUGGCGGGGUAAAGGCCCACCAAGGCGACGAUCCGUAGCUGGUCUGAGAGGAUGAUCAGCCACACUGGAACUGAGACACGGUCCAGACUCCUACGGGAGGCAGCAGUGGGGAAUAUUGGACAAUGGGCGCAAGCCUGAUCCAGCCAUACCGCGUGGGUGAAGAAGGCCUUCGGGUUGUAAAGCCCUUUUGUUGGGAAAGAAAAGCAGCAGGUUAAUACCCCGCUGUUCUGACGGUACCCAAAGAAUAAGCACCGACUAACUUCGUG
rnacentral:rRNA from 1 species